UAAAAAGCUCACAGAACAACGCCGUAAAAAGUGGAUUUUUAACGUACGUCUGCGGUCGGGAGGAGCAGAGUCUGUUAAUGCCCGUGUCUGCAGUGACCACUUCGUCGGAGGUUGCCCUAGCGCUUUGGGUGACGUUGAGUCGGUAGAUUUGGCUCCGACGGUCAACCUAGGUUACCAAAAAACUAAGCCCAAAUCAGAGGCGUCUCUUAAACGAGAGCAAAUGAUGAAGAUCAAGGAAGACCAACAAAGACGGUCGGAAUGUGCAGAUGCUAUGUUGGAUCUCCAGCAGACAGAUGAGAGUCCGGAUCUGACGCAGACAGCCGAAAGCUCAGAACCGAGGCUGACAACAACCCACAAUCAGAGGAGAUCAGUGGGAAUGGGACAUUAAAUGAUAAAGGCUAUGUAGAUGCCGGAUGCCAGACUGAGCUAACAAUGGAUGACAUCGAGAAGAUGGAGGAUGUUCUGAGACAAAACACAACAGAGCUGGGAGAUCUUCGAGCCAAAGCACUGGACACACAGUUCAACAAGGAGUCCUUUGAAAAAAACGAAGACAAGACAAUGUUCUACACGGGGCUCCCCAACUUCUUAGUUUUAAUUCAGAUUUUUGAGCUGUGCAAACCCUACAUCAGCUGUGGUCCUAUGUCUGUGCUGUCUAAAUUUGAACAGUUCAUUUUAGUUUUGAUGAAGCUGAGACUAAAUCUCCCGCUGAAAGAUUUAGCUUUCAGGUUCAAGAUCUCUCUGCCAACUGCUUCUAGAGUUUGGCAUAAAGUAAUUGACAUACUUCAUGAAAGGUUGGGAUUUCAAAUUGA